rnacentral:rRNA from 1 species
AGAGUUUGAUCCUGGCUCAGGAUGAACGCUAGCGACAGGCCUAACACAUGCAAGUCGAGGGGCAGCACAGGUAGCAAUACUGGGUGGCGACCGGCGCACGGGUGAGUAACGCGUAUGCAACCUACCUGUAACAGGGGAAUAGCUCCCUGAAAGGGGAAUUAAAACCGCAUAAGACCACACUAUCGCAUGGUAGAGUGGUAAAAUAUUUAUAGGUUACAGAUGGGCAUGCGUGACAUUAGCCAGUUGGUGAGGUAACGGCUCACCAAAGCUACGAUGUCUAGGGGUUCUGAGAGGAAGGUCCCCCACACUGGUACUGAGACACGGACCAGACUCCUACGGGAGGCAGCAGUGAGGAAUAUUGGUCAAUGGGCGCAAGCCUGAACCAGCCAUGUCGCGUGCAGGAAGACGGCCCUACGGGUUGUAAACUGCUUUUGUACGGGAAGAAAUAUAUCUACGAGUAGAUAUUUGCCGGUACCGUACGAAUAAGGAUCGGCUAACUCCGUGCCAGCAGCCGCGGUAAUACGGAGGAUCCGAGCGUUAUCCGGAUUUAUUGGGUUUAAAGGGUGCGUAGGCGGAAUGGUAAGUCAGUGGUGAAAUACUGCAGCUUAACUGUAGCAUUGCCAUUGAUACUGUCAUUCUUGAGUACAGUUGAGGUAGGCGGAAUGUGGUGUGUAGCGGUGAAAUGCUUAGAUAUACCACA